rnacentral:lncRNA from 1 species
AAUUUAAUCUCAGAGUAAUUCCAAAUAUGGAAGUGGCAGACAAUCAACAUGGCAUCAGUUCAGUCCGCCCGUCUGCAUUUGUUCAUCAUUGAUGAUUUGAAUAAAACUUUCAACAAAUCAAAUUCAGUUUUUCAAACCAUAAAACAGAGACAAUAAAAAUUAACAUCAAACUAUAGAAAUUUAUGACAGGGAAGGCAUCAGAUAAUAAGCGGAGUUUUAAUCUUCACUUGAUAUAUCAGUGUGUAGGAUAAGAAAUUUCAUCAUCCCUUGCCAACCCUUUCAUUUUGGAUUCACUGAAAAACCAGAGAAAGAGAACAAACAAAAACAGAACAAAAAUACAAAAUACAAGUUAAAUGGCUUCAGAUAAAUGCAAAGUGGUCAUCACAGCUUAUCAGUAUAUCAAUAAGCGGUUAAAAAUUUGAAUCAUCACUGCCAAAAUCUCUCUUUGCAGGUACAAAUAAAUGCAUAAAAAUUAAUUUUUUCUGUUAGGGUAUUUCAGUAGGUCCAUUUGACCCAUGGCAAUUUGAAAAUCUGUGCAAUGGGCUGGUAAGCCAACUUUUGAAAUCUGUGCAUCAGUUAUAUCUCCAACACCAUUGAAAUUGGACACAAAAAGGAGAGGGUAAAACAAAUGCAGUGGACCGACCACGGAGAAAGCAAAUCAAAAUCAAAAUAAUACACAAAACCAAUUGAAUUCCCACAAAAAAUCAAACAAUGCGAAAUAGGUAUUCAACGCAAAACCUAAUGGCAUAGUGGAAUCAUAAACGUAGAUUACGAAAACGGAAUCGAAAAGAGAGUGAAAAGGAAUACAAAUUCGGAAUCAGAGAAAUGCAACGCUGUUGCUGUGAGAGACGGCAAAGAGAAGAAGAACUCAGAGACUUUAAAUAGGGGUUGUGUGAAGAUUAGGG